UCAAUUUCAUCAUGUUCGGAAACAACACAUGCAGCGGCGACGCUCCAUUUUCUCUCUCAGUCGUGUUCUCUGUCGUCUCAACCUCGCGUCCAUUACAAACCCGACGGCCGAAGAACUCAUACGAGUUCUCUUCUCCGACGAACUCUCGGUCUCAAUAUCUUCUUCUCCUCUUUUCGAUUUCUAAUUCGUUGUUUGUUGGUUUGAUGAUGAUGGUGAUACGGAAUCGGUGAUUUGUGUUGUUGUAUUGUGUGUUUCUGUCCAAGCUUGAUUCGGUGAAAGUGCAAUGAUGAUGAUGGGUUUAGAUCUGUGUAUUUGUUCAUCUCCACGACUGUUUUUAUAAAUCAAAUUAUUUCAUCCCUUUUCUCUGCUAUAUAUUGAAUCAAAUUAAGGCUACAUCAUAUAGGAUUUCAUCUCAGUAGCCAGAAAGGAUUUAGACUUGAUCGGGUUUUACCGCUGACUUUUGAAUCUAACAGGAGGAUGAAGUGAAAGAAAGAGCAAAAAGAGAUGCAGCUGCUAGCAAAUGAAGGGAAUACUCAUGGAAAGGAUUGUGUAUGAAGUGAUGGCUUCUUAUUGUAUUGGAAGAGAAUUUUAAUUGUGACAUGGAUAAGCAGUGACUUGGUUCUGAAAUUGCAUAUGUGCUAUUACUGUUUUGGGUUGUAUAAUUAUGCAGUAUCGAAGAUACACUAUUGAGGAAAUAGAAGAAGCGACAAAAUACUUUUCCAACUCACUGAAGUUGGUGAAGUAUGUUAUGGACCAGUCUAUAGGGCUGAAUUAGUUCUCACUGCAUUUGCAAUAAAAGUGUUGCAACCCUGUGCAGCUCAAGGAUGGUUGCAAUUUCAACCAAGAUUGAAGUUGUGAUAAGCAUAAGGCAUCUAAACAUGGUUCUUCUAUUUGAAGCGUGUCCGGGGUUCGGUUGCUUACCGUAUGAGCACAUGAGUAAUGGAAUGUUGACGUGCUAUCUAGAUUUAGACAUUAGCAUAUAGGGCAAUAUAAAUUCUUUUUCAGGGUUUUCAUGUGUUCCAUAUAAAUAUUUGAAACACUAUAUUUCUAGGUGGAUGCAGAAAGUGUGUACUGAACUUUUAUGUUUGUUGCAUUUUAAUAAUGAUUAAAGCUGAGAAAAUAAUUUAGCAGCAAAGUUGAGUCAACAAUUGCAGCAAUGCGAGGGCUUUCGGCUACUACAGCUAGCAAUCAACCACAACUUACUACUUUGUUUUAACUGGCUGCUCAUGAAGCUAAAAAAUCAAGUACUCAGGGUUGCAUUUAACAGUGAUUUUAUUCUACUGCAGAUCGAUAGGGUGCCCACAACAUCAGUGGCCCGUGAACCAGAGGCUUUUCACUAUGGAUAUCAUGUACUAUAGGUAAUGUUGUAGAUAUUGGAAACACAUUGGGCUAGAUGCAUUGGAUUUAUCAAAGCCAUUGAACUGCCACUUUUGCCGCCGCUGAAAAAGUCAGUUGAACGGAAAGUAGUGCUUGGAAACAAUUGGACCUGGUUGUUGCAACUGGUGGUGAUGGAACUCUUCCGCUGGCCCGCCAUUUAAUGGAUGGCAAAAUUCCUGUCCUUUGAUUGAACUCAGAUCCUACUUGGAUUGAUGAGGUUUAUCAUAUACAUGUAGUAUUUGUUUAAAUAUUGAUAUAUUGGCUUCUGAAUUUAGACAUUUUGUUUGAAUUAAUGAAUUUAUAUCUUAUUUGUAAUAGGUGGAAAAAUUAAGUGGUGAGUUUUGAUGCUUCUAGAAGUACCGGUCAUCUUUCUGCUGCAACUAUUGAAAACUUCGAACCAAUAUUCUUUCAGUUUUGAUUCCAUGGAGUAGCUAAAACUAUUUAUGUUUUAUGAUGCUUUAG